GUGAAAUGGAAGUCAGAGAUGACAGCCAGCCCCGGACCUCCUCCACUAGAUCGCACUAGGUAUCUGCCCAGCUCCCUGCCUCACUGACUGCAGGCCUCUGCUCAAACCUUAUCUUACGAGAGCAGUACUUCCUGGCUGCCCCAGGUGCUCAGUAAAUACUUGUUUGGCCAACUGACCGGAUUCAACUGUCAAUCAAAACGGGCACAAAUAUGAAAAAGGGGCUCUCCAUUCACCACCAAUCAGGGAUGUUCCUGGAGACUGCUUGCUACUGAUUAAGGACAGUGAACACUGGUUGCCUCCCUGAGAAGAGGAAGCAGGGAACCCACAAGCCAGGUCACGGGUAAUUGACUGUUGGCUUGGUGUAACUCCCAAGGGCUCCGCAUCUGAAGUGAAGUUCUCUAUGAGAUUCGAGCAAGUCAGAAGUGGCAGCUCUCUAUGCAGGACCCUCUGUACACGCCUAAAGACCUGUGAGCCACGUCCGGGCUGUGUCCCGCUCUCUCAGCCUUUGACCAGAUCUGCUGUUGAUGUUUCCUUUGCUAAACCAGCCUUGCCCUGUCGAGUGGGCCCGGGUGACACAGUGAAACGACAAUGGACUUUGGCAUCCACUGGAUGGUUUGAAUCCUAGCACUACCUUUGCUUGUUUGUUUGACUUUAUCCCAAGUCACUUUAUCUCACUGAACCUCAGUUUCCUCAUCUGUCAAGUACAUAUAAUAAUGCCAACACUGGAGAGUACGG